CUCCUACGGGACGCAGCAGUGGGGAAUAUUGCACAAUGGGGGAAACCCUGAUGCAGCGACGCCGCGUGAGUGAAGAAGUAUUUCGGUAUGUAAAGCUCUAUCAGCAGGGAAGAAAAUGACGGUACCUGACUAAGAAGCCCCGGCUAACUACGUGCCAGCAGCCGCGGUAAUACGUAGGGGGCAAGCGUUAUCCGGAUUUACUGGGUGUAAAGGGGGCGCAGACGGCAGCGCAAGCCAGGAGGGAAAGCCCGGG
rnacentral:rRNA from 1 species